AUGGCCCCUUGGCUGCAGCUCUGCUCCGUCUUCUUCACGGUCAACGCCUGCCUCAACGGCUCGCAGCUGGCCGUAGCGGCAGGCGGCUCCAGCAGAGCGCGGGGCGCCGACACCUGCGGCUGGAGGGGAGUGGGGCCGGCCAGCAGAAACAGCGGGCUGCACAACAUCACCUUCCGAUAUGACAAUUGCACCACUUACUUGAAUCCGGUGGGGAAGCACAUAAUUGCUGACGCCCAGAACAUCACCAUCAGUCAGUACGCUUGCCAUGACCAAGUGGCAGUCACCAUUCUUUGGUCCCCGGGGGCUCUCGGCAUCGAAUUCCUAAAAGGAUUUCGAGUAAUACUGGAGGAGCUAAAGUCGGAGGGAAGACGGUGCCAACAACUGAUUCUCAAGGACCCAAAGCAGCUCAACAGUAGCUUCAAAAGAACCGGAAUGGAAUCUCAACCUUUCCUGAAUAUGAAAUUUGAAACAGAUUACUUUGUGAAGAUCGUCCCUUUUCCUUCCAUUAAAAAUGAAAGCAAUUACCACCCUUUCUUCUUUAGAACCCGUGCCUGCGACCUGUUGCUGCAGCCGGACAACCUGGCCUGUAAGCCGUUCUGGAAGCCUCGGAACCUGAACAUCACUCAGCACGGUUUGGACAUGCAGGUGUCCUUUGAUCCCGCGCCACACACCUUUGGCUUCCGUUUCUUCUAUCUUCACUAUAAGCUCAAGCAUGAAGGGCCUUUCAGGAGAAAGACCUGUAAACAGGAGCAAAAUACAGAGACAACCAGCUGCCUCCUUCAAAACGUUUCUCCUGGGGAUUAUAUAAUUGAGCUGGUCGAUGACACUAAUACAACAAGGAAAGUGAUGCAUUAUGCCUUAAAGCCAGCACAUUCCCCAUGGGCCGGGCCCAUCAGGGCUGUUGCCAUCACUGUGCCUUUGGUUGUCAUCUCGGCAUUUGCGACCCUCUUCACCGUGAUGUGCCGCAAGAAACAACAAGAAAAUAUAUAUUCACAUUUAGAUGAAGAGAGUUCUGAGUCGUCCUCGUAUACCACGGUGCUCCCCAGGGAGAGGCUCCGGCCACGGCCCAAGGUCUUCCUCUGCUAUUCCAGCAAAGAUGGCCAGAACCACAUGAACGUUGUCCGGUGUUUUGCCUACUUCCUCCAGGACUUCUGUGGCUGUGAGGUGGCUCUGGACCUGUGGGAGGACUUCAGCCUCUGCCGAGAAGGGCAGAGAGAAUGGGUCAUCCAGAAGAUCCACGAGUCCCAGUUCAUCAUCGUGGUGUGUUCCAAAGGCAUGAAGUACUUCGUGGACAAGAAGAACUACAAGCACAAAGGCAGCGGCCGCGGCUCGGGGAAGGGGGAGCUCUUCCUGGUGGCGGUGGCGGCCAUCGCGGAGAACCUCCGCCAGGCCAAGCAGAGCUCCUCCGCCCAGCUCAGCAAGUUCAUCGCCGUGUACUUCGAUUAUUCCUGCGAGGGCGAUGUUCCCGGCGUCCUGGACCUGAGCACCAAGUACAAGCUCAUGGACAACCUUCCCCAGCUCUGUUCCCACCUGCACUCCAGAGACCAGGGCCUCCUGGAGCCUGGGCAGUACCUGGGACAGGUGAGCAGAAGGAACUACUUUCGCAGCAAGUCAGGCCGGUCCCUUUACGUCGCCAUUUGCAACAUGCACCAGUUUAUCGACGAGGACCCCGACUGGUUUGAGAAGCAGUUCGUCCCUCUCCGGCCUCCCCCACUCCACUCCCGAGAGCCGGUGCUGGAGAAGUUUGACUCCGGCUUGGUGUUAAAUGAUGUCAUGUGCAAACCAGAGCCCGACGGCGAUUUCUGCCUCAAGGCGGAGGCUGCGGUCCCUGGGGCACUGGCCAACUCACCCUCGGAGGGCCUGCACUUGGGCCUGGACCAAGACGCAGAGGCUGGGCCCGGGCCAAGGGGCAGCUCGGUCCUGCGGCCCCUGCUGCACGCCGGGAAAGCCUCCAGCCCCUCGGACAUGCCUCGGGACUCGGGCAUCUACGACUCAUCGGUGCCCUCCUCGGAGCUGUCCCUGCCCCUAAUGGAAGGACUAUCGGCAGAUCAGACAGAAACAUCUUCGCUGACAGAGAGCGUGUCGUCCUCCUCCGGCCUGGGUGAGGAGGACCCUCCUACCUUUCCUUCCAAGCUCCUCGCCUCCGGGACGUGCAAAGCAGACCCUGGUUGCUGCAGCUACACUGGUGAACUCCACGUGGUCGCCCCUUUGUAACGAAACGGAAGUAGAGUCUAAGCAUUGCCACUUUAGCUGCCGCCUCUCUCUGGUCCCCCAGCUCUUCUCUCUGGUUGCGCAGUCCACUUGGAGCUGAGGUCUCCGACAAGGAUAUUUGGAGUGAAAUUUGGGCCAGUACUUGCUCUCCAUGCCCCAUCCCUCUACCUGGUAUCUUGGCCAAGUCUCCAAUUUUCUCAAACCAUAUGGGUAUCUCUGAAAGGCAUAUCCAUAAGGCCCGACAGCAGCUUGUCCCGUUAGGUCAGACCUUGGAUUAGAGUCGGUUCUGGGAGGUAGGGAGGAAACAGGCACGGAGAUGCAGGAACAUACCUGCACUGAUCACUCAGAUUUUGUUUCUCUCUGCAAACUUUGCCUGUUUGCCGUUGGCUACUUUGAACUGAAAUGCUUUGUGGGAGAAGCACUCUUCGUAUCAUUCUAGCCACAGAAAUCAAGUGCCAGUCUUUCUGGGAACCAUGUUGUUAAAGAUGAUGGUUUUAGUGUAGAAUUUGCAGUGCUGUGUCCAAAAGAGCUCCGAAUCAAAGUCAGAAAGGUAACUGAGUCUACUAUCCCCUUUCGUAAAAUGAGUCUUUAUGUAUUAGUGGGUGCGUGGCUGGCUGAGGUGGGGGCUGUGUGGUCAGGCUGAACAUUCCAACAGUAUUUCCUGACCUGGGUUGGUCAUUGUGCAGAAAGCAUCAAAACUCGGGGAACAGGACCACCUGUUGGUGUGAGGAGGCAUCAUGGGGGGGCCAGAUCUGCCUGCCAGGUUUCCCUGGGUUCUGUUCGCUGUGUAGUAUCUCAGAUGUUGCUGCCUGGACAUUUAUUUUUAAAAGACAAAUACCCAACUGGGCUGUCUUACUGGAAGCUGGAGUUCAUGCUUCAGUGGACUUCUGUUCUAAAGCUGUGUCUGGAAUAUUAGGGAUCAGGAUCAAUGGAAAUAUGGCUGUGCACAUAGGUGGCGGCCGCUCACCUUGCCGAGCCGGUUUUGACUAAUGAUAAAGUCUCAUUUUAAGGAGGUGUGAAGAAGGGAGCGGUCACGAAGAUGAGUGUGCUCUGCUAAUAGCAUCUGAAGAAGACAGGAGACCUGAAAUCAUUGAAUUCCUGAAUCUUAAAGUACUCCCCAACCUCCCCACUCCCCUCAACAACCCAGCCUGUGAAUCAUGUGUCACUGUGUGUUUCUGUUCUACUUACCAGAUGAAAGAUUUGUCUCUUGUGCUCUCGUCUACCAAAAGAGCUAUUUAGAGCUUAGGGGGAAAGAAUUUGCUUUAAAAAGGAAAAGUAAAUGUUCUGUUUCUAUGAAUGAUGUUUCUACAGAAUUUCUGUUUCCAAAAGAGAAAAAAGGUGUUCAAAUCCUGUUUGUGUAUUAGGUAUGUGGGUCAUGAUGACUUGGUCUUCCCUGUGGAAACUCCUGUCCCCUUGAGGGGUUGUGAGCAUCUUUCUCCACCUUUUUCGUGGGUGCUGUUGAAUUUGGGCACCCUGCUUUUACUGAGCACUCACACAGGGGAUCCUGGGUUUCGCUCCUUUAGCAGAUAGGAUCCAUAUUACGGGAGAUACUGAGGAACAGCUCAAGGAGGGGUAGGAGGUGGAACAGAGCAUGACUUUUCCAUCCAAGCACAUGCUUGGCAGAUGGGGAAGGGAAGGUUUGCAGCCUUGCUGGAAAGAAGAGGUUUGUGUGUAUUUUUGAUGCAAAUGCCGCACUGCAUGUUCUGGAAAGGCAGCUGACGGCUUCUUGGGAGAAAAACGUGCUUGUCCUCCGGCAUCAGGUUUCCUGCAGCUGCUCUGAAGGGGAGACAAGUGAGCUGCAGAACUGUCUCCCCCAUAAAACCAGGCAUCUUGUUGGAGAAGAGAUGUUCCAUGUCACUGUGGAAUCUGGGACAUGUGCAGAGCUCAUGCCCACACGUGAUGGUCCUGCCAUUCUGCCGUUGGAAUAAGUUCUGCAAGGGAACUUGCGAACAUGAAAAUUCACUUUGGAACAUUAUCAGAGAGACUGAGGCCAAGAAAUGGUGCAUGCUCCAAAGGAACCAUGAGGAGCUACUUUUGGGAUAUUCAGCUUUGCACAUAAAAUGAGGCAUCUCUGAGAAAGCAAUCCCCAGAGCAGCACGGAGGACUGGGGGUGGUGGGAGCAUCAACGGAGCUCCAUGAGCAUGGGCAGAGAGAUGGCUAAAUGAACUCACUUCUUUUGAAGAUGCAAGGGGAAAAACUGCUAGACCAAAAAUCAGAAAUUCAAACCAGCCUUCUUUUGUUCCGCAUGCCGUCGAAGAAGAACAGCUGGUUACCUUCCGUGUGUUUGAAAACCCCAGUGAAGUCAUCCCCUUGGUGUUUUUAUUUCUGUGGUAAAUAAUCCCACCUGCUUAAACCAUUCUUCAUAGCUCUUGUUUUGCAAGGGCUUGAUCAUUUUCACUGCUGUUCUGUGUCUCGGCUUCACGCUCAGUUGCGUUGAGCAAACAGAACAUGGUGCCUUACUCACAUUGGUGCCUUGAGAAGGCCAAGGGCAGGAUGGGGAUUACAGGGAAAUCCUCAUGCACCUGGGUUCUCUUACUACUUAAAACUGUAAUGGCACUUUUAAAAAGUGGUACAUUGCCUGUACUCAUUUUGAUGAUUACUUGGUUGCCACAUCCAUCCCUCCCGCCCGGCAAGAGCCUGUUACAUCCCCCCCACCCUUCUUGUGGUCAGACACUUGGUGCUUAUUCCUGAUGAGUUUAAUGCCAUUCCUGAGCUGCUUCAAGACCAGCUCUCACCUUCCGAGUGGCAGCUCCGCCUCCCUGCAGUUUUAGAUUCUAUUUUCGCAUCUCUCUAGACAUCACCUCUAAUUGAUGACUCACAAUAUUUUUAGAUGGUUUGGACUUCACUUUAACCACUGGCGAGAUGGAGAGCAGUUGCUAAGGGCUGAUUUGCAAAGAGAGUGAGGGAGGAUCUCUUGGGAAUUUUGGCCGGUUGCCUCUCCUCCCAUUCUUUGGUUCCUCCCUGAAAUUCUGCUGGGACGGCAGACAACCCUAGGAGCUUUCCUGGGUUCUGAAGGGCUGGAGCCAUGACUCUGAAAUGACUCAGCACUGUGUUUUGCACAAUCAGAAGUCUGACAAAAGCAAUCUGAUUAUGAUCAUAUCUGAUGUUGAUGCCAAAUAAAAGUUCAGUCGAGAAGAUGCAAAGAAGCAUUCUUCUGUUUGUACACGAUAUGGACAAAGUUGCCUGCUCCAUCUGUUAGACAAAAAAAAUUACCGUCGGGGCACACUAACGUGUAACUGUUAUUUAAAAGUUUUGGGUUUUUUUCCUCAAGGAAAAAGAAUGGUGAGUCUGGACAGAGCAAAAACUUUUUGUAAAAACCACAUGUGUUCAUUUAGAGAGUAGGUAAUUUCUAUUUUCACUAAUUUUUUUUUUUUUUUUUAAACUACAGAAGCUCCCUGUUACUACGUUCUAGGGGGUAAAGCCUGUGGAACAUGAACAUGGUGGUUCUUGUCAUUGUCUUGGUUUCAUCUUUAAGAUUGUCCUUGGUAGGGUUUGGAGGAAUAGUGAGCACUGACAGACUAUAACAAUGUGCUCUAUUUUUACAUUGAAAACAAUGUCUUAUUUGAUUUGUACAUAACUGUAAAUAGGUGACAGUAGGUCACAGCUGACAUUUGCAAAAUGUUGUUUUUGUACCUUAGCAUUUCUGCACCAAAUAAAAUGUUUUAAGAUUGCA